rnacentral:rRNA from 1 species
GGCGGCAAGAUAGCCAUUUAGAGGAACCUGCCCUAAAAACGAUGAACCACGAAUACCUUACUUUUUUUUGAGAUCAGUUUGUAUACCGCUGUUGGCAGUUAGUUUCAUUAGAAAACUUUCGUUAAUAAUAUAAUUAUUGACUUCAAGUAAAGGUGCAGCAAAUAAAAAAGACAGAGGUGGGUUACAUUUAAUUGAAUAAAACGGAUAAAGUUAUGAAAUUGCUUUUGAAGGUGGAUUUAAUAGUAAAGUUUAAUAAAACUUGAUGGGAGCUCUGUCUUGUGUACACACCGCCCGUCG